rnacentral:tRNA from 2 species
UAGGCUUUAGUUUAAAAAAAACUUAAGCUUUGGGAGUUUAAAAUGCUAUUAUUAGUAGGCCUAA